CUUUCGGGCCUCAUGCCAUCAGAUGUGCCCAGAUGGGAUUAGCUAGUAGGUGGGGUAACGGCUCACCUAGGCGACGAUCCCUAGCUGGUCUGAGAGGAUGACCAGCCACACUGGAACUGAGACACGGUCCAGACUCCUACGGGAGGCAGCAGUGGGGAAUAUUGCACAAUGGGCGCAAGCCUGAUGCAGCCAUGCCGCGUGUGUGAAGAAGGCCUUCGGGUUGUAAAGCACUUUCAGCGGGGAGGAAGGCGGUGAGGUUAAUAACCUCAUCGAUUGACGUUACCCGCAGAAGAAGCACCGGCUAACUCCGUGCCAGCAGCCGCGGUAAUACGGAGGGUGCAAGCGUUAAUCGGAAUUACUGGGCGUAAAGCGCACGCAGGCGGUCUGUCAAGUCGGAUGUGAAAUCCCCGGGCUCAACCUGGGAACUGCAUUCGAAACUGGCAGGCUAGAGUCUUUGUAGAGGGGGGUAGAAUUCCAGGUGUAGCGGUGAAAUGCGUAGAGAUCUGGAGGAAUACCGGUGGCGAAGGCGGCCCCCUGGACCAAAGACUGACGCUUCAGGUGCGGAAAGCGUGGGGAGCAAACAGGAUUAAGAUACCCUGGUAGUCCACGCCGUAAACGAUGUCGAUUUGGAGGUUGUGCCCUUGAGGCGUGGCUUCCGGAGCUAACGCGUUAAAUCGACCGCCUGGGGGAGUACGGCCGCAAGGUUAAAACUCAAAUGAAUUGACGGGGGCCCGCACAAGCGGUGGAGCAUGUGGUUUAAUUCGAUGCAACGCGAAGAACCUUACCUGGUCUUGACAUCCACAGAACUUUCCAGAGAUGGAUUGGUGCCUUCGGGAACUGUGAGACAGGUGCUGCAUGGCUGUCGUCAGCUCGUGUUGUGAAAUGUUGGGUUAAGUCCCGCAACGAGCGCAACCCUUAUCCUUUGUUGCCAGCGGUUAGGCCGGGAACUCAAAGGAGACUGCCAGUGAUAAACUGGAGGAAGGUGGGGAUGACGUCAAGUCAUCAUGGCCCUUACGACCAGGGCUACACACGUGCUACAAUGGCAUAUACAAAGAGAAGCGACCUCGCGAGAGCAAGCGGACCUCAUAAAGUAUGUCGUAGUCCGGAUUGGAGUCUGCAACUCGACUCCAUGAAGUCGGAAUCGCUAGUAAUCGUAGAUCAGAAUGCUACGGUGAAUACGUUCCCGGGCCUUGUACACACCGCC
rnacentral:rRNA from 1 species